AAGAUGACGUUAGAUCAAUGACGUGUGUCACUUUAUGCAGUCCGCAAUGUUUUGAUGCAGUUGGUAACUGUUGGUAUAAGACGUGUGGGCGUUAAAACGGAGUCGUGUGUUUGUGGGUAGUGCUUGUUUUCGUAGGUACGAAUCUACAUAUAGAAAUAUUACAUGUAUUCUGUUUGGGUUUCUGUCUUUGCUAACGUUGCGCGAGACUGUUUUUAGCUACGCACGGCCACUUGGCAUGGCUUGAAUUCCGCAAAGCCAGACUCCCAAUGUCAAGAAUCUUACCAGUGAUCUACUGUGAUAUUUUGAUACUGCUAGUGCACUAUUAUUAGGCAUGCACGCGAGACUCUUUUGUGCGCACGUUUUAUUACCUUUUUCCUUCGUCAGUGUACAGCUAUUAUAGUGCACAACACUUUUUCGAGUCGGAACUGGCGAAAAGUGCGUCCGAAGCUCACCGGACAUGCAGACUUCUAGCGAUGUCAGCUUCUCACCUUGUUUAACCAUGACACUCAAACACUGGAUCGCCUAAACCGUGAUUUUCUUCUCUAUGAUCCACACAAUUUAUGCCCAGUUGGAUUCAGUAGAAUCGCUUUUGGACGAGCACCCCUAUAUGUUUUAUCUGGGCCUAUUCUUUGUGAACGUCCUCAUCCUCUACUACGCCUUUCUGAUGGAGUACAUCGUCCUGAAUGUGGGGAUAGUAUUUAUGCCUGAGGAUAUGGACCGGGCUCUGGUGGACCUCGGGGUUCUUUCUGAUCCGGCAUCCCUGCCCUACGACUCGGACACAGACUUGGAUGUGUUUGAAGGGUAUCUGGAGUGACAUGGAUUGGAUUAUGAUGCUGGUGAAGAUGAUGGAGAGGUCAGGGACAAAUGAGGCCUGUUUCCCGGACGUCUGUUCUUUUUGGAUAGAGAGGAAUAAGGUCAGCAGUUUUGGAAUGUUCACUGGUCAUCUCAGCGUGAAGAUGACCAUCACCAAAGGCAACUUUUCAACCAUCAUCUCUUGGAGAGACUCAUUCUUUGACUUCGCCGCCACCUGGACGUCCACACAAGCAUUUGUGUCCUUCUCUUGGCACAUAUUGACAGAAAAAAAGGCUGUAUUUUGUGCUGCAUGCGAGACGACAUUGCGACUGUGGAUUCAGAGUACAAUAUCGAUCCAGACAGAAGAAGCUCGGUGCAAAUCAUAUGCAAUCAGAUCAGUCGAUUGCACCAAAAGACGCAAGUCAUCUUGACUU